UACACUCCUGCGGGAGGCAGCAGUGGGGAAUAUUGCACAAUGGGCGCAAGCCUGAUGCAGCCAUGCCGCGUGUAUGAAGAAGGCCUUCGGGUUGUAAAGUACUUUCAGCGGGGAGGAAGGCGAUAAGGUUAAUAACCUUGUCGAUUGACGUUACCCGCAGAAGAAGCACCGGCUAACUCCGUGCCAGCAGCCGCGGUAAUACGGAGGGUGCAAGCGUUAAUCGGAAUUACUGGGCGUAAAGCGCACGCAGGCGGUCUGUCAAGUCGGAUGUGAAAUCCCCGGGCUCAACCUGGGAACUGCAUUCGAAACUGGCAGGCUAGAGUCUUGUAGAGGGGGGUAGAAUUCCAGGUGUAGCGGUGAAAUGCGUAGAGAUCUGGAGGAAUACCGGUGGCGAAGGCGGCCCCCUGGACAAAGACUGACGCUCAGGUGCGAAAGCGUGGGGAGCAAACAGGAUUAGAAACCCCAGUAGUCCCAUGA
rnacentral:rRNA from 1 species